UUCGUAGGGGGCAAGCGUUGUCCGGAAUCAUUGGGCGUAAAGAGCGUGUAGGCGGCUCGGUAAGUCCGCUCUGAAAGCCCGGGGCUCAACCCCGGGAGGCGGGCGGAUACUGUCGGGCUAGAGUCCGGAAGAGGCGAGUGGAAUUCCUGGUGUAGCGGUGAAAUGCGCAGAUAUCAGGAGGAACACCGGUGGCGAAAGCGAGCUCCUGGACGUUCACUGACGCUGAGACGCGAAAGCCAGGGGAGCGAACGGG
rnacentral:rRNA from 1 species